UGGGGAAUCUUGGACAAUGGGGGCAACCCUGAUCCAGCCAUGCCGCGUGAGUGAAGAAGGCCUUCGGGUUGUAAAGCUCUUUCGGACGGGAAGAAAUCGCGCUCACUAAUACUGGGUGCGGAUGACGGUACCGUAAGAAGAAGCACCGGCUAACUACGUGCCAGCAGCCGCGGUAAUACGUAGGGUGCGAGCGUUAAUCGGAAUUACUGGGCGUAAAGCGUGCGCAGGCGGAUGGAUAAGACAGAUGUGAAAUCCCCGGGCUUAACCUGGGAAUGGCGUUUGUGACUGUUCAUCUCGAGUACGGCAGAGGGAGGCGGAAUUCCACGUGUAGCAGUGAAAUGCGUAGAGAUGUGGAGGAACACCGAUGGCGAAGGCAGCCUCCUGGGCCGAUACUGACGCU
rnacentral:rRNA from 1 species